rnacentral:rRNA from 1 species
GACGAACGCUGGCGGCGUGCUUAACACAUGCAAGUCGAACGCUGAAGCCCUGGCUUUUGUUGGGUUGGAUGAGUGGCGAACGGGUGAGUAACACGUGAGUAACCUGCCCUCUUCUUUGGGAUAACGCCCGGAAACGGGUGCUAAUACUGGAUAUUCACUGAUCUUCGCAUGGGGGUUGGUGGAAAGGUUUGUUCUGGUGGGGGAUGGGCUCGCGGCCUAUCAGCUUGUUGGUGGGGUGAUGGCCUACCAAGGCUUUGACGGGUAGCCGGCCUGAGAGGGUGACCGGUCACAUUGGGACGGAGAUACGGCCCAGACUCCUACGGGAGGCAGCAGUGGGGAAUAUUACACAAUGGGCGAAAGCCUGAUGCAGCGACGCCGCGUGAGGGAUGGAGGCCUUCGGGUUGUAAACCUCUUUCGCUCAUGGUCAAGCCGCAACUGUGGGUUGUGGUGAGGGUAGUGGGUAAAGAAGCGCCGGCUAACUACGUG